AUACGUAGGGAGCGAGCGUUGUCCGGAAUUACUGGGUGUAAAGGGAGCGUAGGCGGGAGUGCAAGUCAGAUGUGAAAAACAUGGGCUCAACCCAUGGGCUGCAUUUGAAACUGCAUUUCUUGAGUGAAGUAGAGGUAAGCGGAAUUCAUGGUGUAGCGGUGAAAUGCGUAGAUAUCAGGAGGAACACCGGUGGCGAAGGCGGCUUACUGGGCUUUUACUGACGCUGAGGCUCGAAAGCGUGGGGAGCAAACAGGAUUAGAUACCCUGGUAGUCCACGCUGUAAACGAUGAUUACUAGGUGUGGGGGGACUGACCCCUUCCGUGCCGCAGUUAACACAAUAAGUAAUCCACCUGGGGAGUACGGCCGCAAGGUUGAAACUCAAAUGAAUUGACGGGG
rnacentral:rRNA from 1 species